UCAAUGACCAAGAAUGCUCGAGAAAAUCAUGCAACUUUGGAUGUACACAUUGUUACUGUGAUAGAGUUACACUUAUUUAAAGAAACUUUGAAUACAUAUCCAGAAUUUUCAAAAGAAUUCAAGGAUAAAAUACAAGUGACAUUCAGUCUUAAGCGGAUGCUGAAGUGUUUCUUCGUUUGACACCAUCUCGACAAGUGGGCGAUCUACCUGCUAGCACGGGACCGCAGUAAGGUGAAGGUGAGCCGACAUCUAUGACAUUCUAAAUUGCUCUGUAGCAAGCCAAGGUGAGACAAAUACAACGUUCAAAGACAGAACAGUGAAAAGAUGGUUAGAUACUGCAGCCACGAGAAUCAACGAAGCUUACGUUGCCAACGUUACAGAUAGUGGACCCAGCAUAAAGACGUAUUACAUCACAGCGUUAUAUUUUACGUUUACGUCACUGACGUCAAUAGGAUUCGGAAACGUGUCACCAAAUACCAAUGGAAUUGACAUGCAGGUAAAGAUGAUAUAUUUGGUGGUGACUGCAGUGACGUAGAAUGCUCGGGAAAAUCGUUCUAUUUUGUACGUGCCCUUAGUUACUGUGAUAUUAACAAGAUAGAGUUACACGUGCUGAAAGAAACAAUGGAUUUAUAACCAGAAUUUUCAAAAAGAAUUUAUGGGUAAAAUACAAGUGCCAUUCAAUCUUAAGCUCGACGAAUGGGACCACAGAUCGGAGAAGAUGAGCCGACGUCUAGGGCAUUCGAAUUUUCUCCGCUACCAGCAAGAAGUGGUAUAGAUACGGCGUUCAAAGACAGAUCAGUGUAAACAAGACGAAGAGUUGACGGAUGUUUCAUUUCUUCAUCAGAUUCCAGCCAGUACGUCAAGGUUACAGUGUGUUUUCGGUGUAUCUAUAAGGUCAUUCUUAGAAACAUCAGACAGUUGAGCGCCCUCUGGUAGUCGGCGCAUUUCCAGCUUUGAGCGCCCUCUAGUAGUCGGUGCAUUUCCGGGAAGCU